rnacentral:rRNA from 1 species
UACGAGGGGGGCAAGCGUUGUUCGGAUUUAUUGGGCGUAAAGGGUGCGUAGGCGGUUUGGCAAGUCUUGUGUGAAAUCUUCGGGCUCAACCCGAAGCCUGCACAAGAAACUGCCGGGCUUGAGUAUGGGAGAGGUGAGUGGAAUUUCCGGUGUAGCGGUGAAAUGCGUAGAUAUCGGAAGGAACACUUGUGGCGAAAGCGGCUCACUGGACCAUAACUGACGCUGAUGCACGAAAGCUAGGGGAGCAAACAGG